AUUACUUCUUCCGUCCCAUUGCAUUUGGUGAAUUUUUCAUUUUAUCCGUUCUACUUAAUUUACAUCAUUUUCAUCUUUUGGUGAUGGCCCAUCACUUUUUUUUAAUUUCAUCAAUACAUUUUAACUCUCUUUUAAUAUCAUCUACAAAAUUCAUUCUUUCUUUAUUUAUUACCUAUACUUGAAAACUAUUCUCUUUAUCAUUUAAUGUAAAUCAAAGAGGAACGUGUAAGUCUCCCCCAUUUACAUUCUCAUUUACCAAACACCGGCGGUUUUAUAACUGAAAUCAUCUGGUAAUGUCAGAUUGGUAGUAUAAAAAACCAGAGAAAACUACAUCAUGGAGGUUGAAGAAGCAAUGAAGAAAGAACACAUGCUCCAGGAGUAGGCCAAGAGCUCUAGAGUUUCCUUGUCAACCAUCUACUCUGAGGGAGAUUGUACUCCUCAAAAAUUAGUAUUUUUAGGAGAAAAUUCUCUUAAAAUAUAAGGUUUACGCAAUGGCUCAUGAUGGUAGUAAUUUAGAAGAUCCGAAUCCUCAAGCUAAACAAUUUUUCGACAUGCUAAGUGCUGCAAAUAAUCCGUUGUAUUUUGGGUGCGAAACUUACUCUCAAAUGUCGAUUAUCGAGAGAAUGAUGAAUUUAAUGGCAGAUCAUAAUUGUUCAGAGAGGUUGUAUGACGAGUUGUGCUAUGUGAUGCAUGAGACUUUACCCCAACCUAACUUGAUGACAUAUAGUUUUAAUGACACAAAGAAGCUAAUAGCGGGGCUUGGAUUGCAAUUAGAGAGUAUUGAUUGUUGCAUUAAUGGGUGUAUGAUCUACUGGGGUCGUACGGCGGAUACUAGAGGAUGCGAAACAUGUUUGAAAACAAGGUGGGUUAAAGACGAUUUGGGAAAUAAACGCAUUGCAAGGAAACAAUUUAUAUAUCUUCCCAUAAGUACACUAUUAUAACGAUUGUAUGCCUUUUAAGUUACUGCUUGUGAAAUGAGAUGGCACGCUGAGCACCACAGAGAAGAGGGGGAAAUAUGUCACCCAUCAGACUUGGAGGCUUGGUUAAACUUUAACGCAGCACAUCCAGUGUUUGCAGCUGAGACGAGAAAUGUGAGGCUCGGUUUGUAUACAGGCGGAUUCAACCCAUUUGGAAACUCGAGAAGGCAGUAUUCAUCAUGGCCAGUGAUUCUGACACCUUACAACCUUCCUUCGUGGAUGUGCAUGAAGACACCAUACAUGUUCUUGACAGUGAUUGUGCCAGGGCCUAACAAUCCAAAGUAGAACAUCGAUAUUUACUUGCAACCUUUGAUCGAAGAACUUAAGAUGUUGUGGAAAAACGGUAUCGUGACCUAUGAUGUGUCCACACGAAAAAACUUUUGUCUUAGAGCGACCUUGGUGUGUACGAUCAAUGACUUUUCGGCAUAUUCGAUGUUAUUAGGAUGGAGUACUCACGGUAAAAAUGCUUGUCCUUAUUUGCAUGUCUGAUUCAAAGGCUUUUUAUUUGAGAAAUAGUAGGAAAAUGUGUUGCUUUGACUGUCAUUGAAUGUUUUUGUCUGACUAUCAUCCGUUCAGAAGAAGGAACAAGGCUAAUUUUAUGGCAAGGGUUCAGGAGGAGGAUCAUGCCCCUUAUACUCGCACCGGUGUUGAGUUACUUGAGGAGCUUAACAUGCAUGGGAUGAAGAAAGUGUGAGAAUGGUGCACGGGAAUAUAGUGAGUAUUAUGGUCCGUUGACUGAAGGGUGGGAAAAAAGGAGUGUAUUUUGGGAUCUAAUAUUGGAAAACAAAUAUGAUCAGACACUAUCUUGUUGUGAUGCACAUAGAAAAAUAAAUUUUCGAUAAUAUUUUCAAUACAGUUUUGCGUGUGGAAAAGAAAACGAACGAUCAUCUUAAUGCACGUAGAGACUUGCAAGACCUUGGCAUUAGAAGUAUAUUGCAUCCAAUAGGGAAAUCCUAAUGGCAUCAUACACCCUAGAUGAUGGACAAAUGUAUGUUCAACUUGAUUGGCUUAAGACUUUGAGGUUUUCAGAUGGUUAUGUAACCUGCUUAGCAAGGAACAUUGACAUGACUAAAUAUUCUAUAUUUGUGUUGAAAA